rnacentral:rRNA from 1 species
CGGGACGGGUGAGUAAUGUCUGGGAAACUGCCUGAUGGAGGGGGAUAACUACUGGAAACGGUAGCUAAUACCGCAUAACGUCGCAAGACCAAGAGGGGGACCUUCGGGCCUCUUGCCAUCGGAUGUGCCCAGAUGGGAUUAGCUAGUGGGUGGGGUAACGGCUCACCUAGGCGACGAUCCCUAGCUGGUCUGAGAGGAUGGCCAGCCACACUGGAACUGAGACACGGUCCAG